UGAGGCAGCGUUUUGUAGCAAUACAAACAGGCAUAAACAGCAGACUUGUGAGGUGUUAAGUAACAAGAAAAGAAACUUACUUGUUUGUUGUAUCUUGAAGUGAACCAGAAUCUGAAAAAAAUGGAUAUCAAACACAUUUUGUUAAAUAAAAGAUUGUUCCUCUACAUCACAUCACCUAAAAUAAUGGUUGCUGCUUUUGCUCUCUCAAUUGUCCUCAUUUCAAUACUCAUUCUGGACUGCAACCGUGUUGUCGUAAAAAAGGAAUAAUGUAUUUGUUGUUGACUUGUGGGAAGAAAAAGGAGUGCAAAGAUUGUAUCAAAAGCAAGCAAACUAUGAUCGAGAUGAUUGUGUAGAUUGUUGCAAAGGAGAAAAUGGCGAGAAAAAGAGAUCUAGAGCGCAGAGAUCCAGAUCAAGUCUUGGAUAUCAAGCUGGAGAGAAUAAGGUGAAAUCAAAAGAGAGAGCAGAAUGCAGAGUGUUACCGCAAGCGAAGACAUGACACAAACAAGAUGUCAAUAAGACAAAAUAUGAAUUUAGUAUGCAUGAACUGUAUCUAAAUACAAAGGACAGAUCCUUGCAGACAGCCCGCUAUUAAAGAGAGUUUGUACAGCGCCGCCUAAAACUACUAUUAAAAGAGUAGCGAGAGACUUGCCGAGUGGAAAUCGAAUUCGUGUAAUAAAAAUUAAUGCCCAACAAAGUU